UGAAAGGAGUUUGACAGUGGCCCCGUCAAGCCCCAAAAGUAAUCCGAAGCUAAGCGCUAGUUAGAAAAGCAUUUUUCCAGUCUACCCGUCUCCUUGUAUGAAGUCGGCUCCAGAGUUCCUCCAUUGCUUCCAAUUCCUCUUCUUUUAAGGGGAGUGUGGAUUGAUUCGUACAAGUAAACACCCAAUCAAGGAUAACCAAAGGAAAUAGGAAUGGAGAGUGCUAGAAUAGCAAGGUGUAGUUAUCGUGCAGUUACUGUUGUCAUUGCUUUGUUGGAACACAGUAAAUAUGCAGAUAUCUGUAAAGAGAUAUGUUUAAGGUUUAAACAACUGACAGUAGGGAGUUUUGAGCUGACAUAUUCUCUUCCUGAGCAUCCUAAUUGCUUGCUGCAAUCAGAUAUGGAUGUGCAUUUGAUGCUUAUGUGUUUAUCUAUGUUGAAGAGUAGUUUUGUUGACAUUUCGGUCAAGGAUCUUGUAAGUUCAAAUAAUGAGGAUGGCAAUAUUGCAGCGCCUAAUCCUCCACCUCAGUGUCGGGCUGUUUGUAAUUAUGCAGCGUCUGAUCAGACACCUCAUAGUCAUAGUCAUGCAGUUUCUAAUCAUGCAGCUUCUGAUCAUGAUGCAACUAAUCAUGCAACACCUGAUCAUCUAGCUUCUGAUCAGGCAGCGUCUAAUCAUGCAACGCCUGGAGCACCUAAUCAUGCGACACCUGGAGCUCCGAAUCGUACAUUGUCUGAUGAUGCAACAUCUAAUCGGGCAGCUUCUAAUAAUGCAACAUCUAGUGAUGCAACUUCUAAUCAUGCAGCUUCUCACCAUGCAGUGUUUAUUGAUGUAAUAUCUAACCAUGAUGCGUCCAAUCAUGAAGUAUCCAAUCAUGUAGCGUUUGAUGAUGUGAUAUCUAAUCAUGCAUCGUGUGAUGAUGUAAUAUCUAAUCAUUUAGCAUCUUCAUCAUGCAUGUUAGAUAGCAUCUCCAGAUUUCAGGAAAGUGAUACACACUUGUCUCAGGGUUGGAAGGAAUACAUUGAUCAUGUAGGCCAGAAGUUUGAAGGGGGUGCAAAUGAAUUUCGUACGAAGUUGUGUAUGUAUGCCUUUGCGAUGGGAUUUCGUUUUGCUUAUGUAAAGAAUGAUAAGGACCGUGUUAUUGCUGAAUGUUUUAAGAAGAUUUCAGAUGGCUGUAAUUGGCGUGUAUAUGCUUCAGGUUGUCGGUUGAAUGGUUUUUUCUACAUAAAGACUCUAAAUAAUGUUCACACUUGCACGGGUGUUAACCGUGAGGAGAAAAGUAAGAUGAUGAAUGCAAAGAUCGUAUCUUCUAUUUUGGUGGAUCAAAUCCGGGGGAAACCGUCUAUUAAGCCAGUAGAUAUUGUCAAGGAUUUUAAGCAGAAUUAUGGUCUUGAUAUCCCUUACCAUACUGCAUGGUACGCAAAAGAAAUGGCUAAGAGUGAAGUUCAUGGUGAUGAAUCCUCAUCGUAUAGUCGAUUGGUUGGUUAUAAUAAUGUUUUAAUGUCAAGUAAUCCCGGGUCGCAUUGUGUCUUGGAUUGUGAUCCCGAGACUUCUCGCUUUCGGAGAUUGUUUAUUUGUUAUGGUGCUUGCAUUGAAGGUUUUCAGUGGUGCAGACCGUUGUUGUUCAUAGAUGUGACUGUUCUAGAAAGUAAGCAUGAAGGCCAACUAAUUGGUGCCACCGGGAAGAAUGGAAAUCAAGGAUCGUUCCCCUUUGCGUUUGCUAUUGUGGACUCAGAAAAUGAGGAAAAUUGGAGCUGGUUCUUUGAAAAUUUAGCUAAAGUUUUGACCCCGCAAGGUAGGACAAUUACAUUUGUAUCUGAUCAGAACAAAGGUCUCGUUGAAGCUGUUUCAAACAUAUUUCCAACAUCCCAUCAUGCAUUUUGCUUGCAAAAUUUGAAACAGAACCUUUUAUCUAAAUUUCCAUCUACUUAUGGUAAAUUUUUGCGGGAUCGAAUUGUUGAUCUUUUUUCAAAAUGCGCUCGUGCUCCCACUAAAGCUGCUUUUGAGGUUAAUUUGAGAAAUUUGAAACAUGAGGGUGGUGCUCCUGUUAUGACCUUUCUCGAGGAUCUUCCUAAGGAGAAGUGGUCAUAUGCCUACUUUAAGGGUUAUCAAUAUGGUGAAACAUGCAACAAUGUUUCAGAAACAUUUAAUUCUUGGAUUUUGGAGCUAUGUGGCUUGCCCAUCUUUCAUAUGGUUGAUGGCAUCAGGAUUAAACUCAUGAGAAUGAUGGCUGAGUUGAGUCGUGAAGCAGAGCAAUGGUCUUCUGUUCUAUGCCCUGAGAUGGAGAAAACCUUGAACGAAAUAUUGAUGCUUGGUAGGAAUUGGAAUGUCAGUCGUUCUACUGCUUCUGUGUAUGAGGUGCAUGCUGAUUAUUCUGUUAUGGUUGAUCUGCAUAAUCGUCUGUGCACCUGCCAUGAGUGGCAAAUUAAAGGCUUUCCAUGUGUUCAUGCACUUGUUGCUGUACAAAAACAUUCUGGUAGCAUUUAUGAAUAUAUUGAUGACCUCUUCACGUCAAGCUACUUUCGAAGUUCAUACGGGUUUCGUAUCUCUCCUGUACCUGACACUAAGAACGCGAUGGAUGAUGGUUCAGAAGAUGUUAUCAUGCCUCCACCUACUAAGAAGAGACGAGGUAGACCAAGGACUAAAAUGCCAAAAUCUCUUGGUGAAGUUUAAAAGGGGUAAAUUAAUUGUUUUGGCUGCUGAAUGAAGAUAAUAGCUUUUGGAGAACACAGGAUGAACUGAGUUUACCGAAUCAGUGUAAAUUUUAAGAAUAACUAAAGGAUUUUUUCAGUAAAGUAAUCAAUUUAGAAACAGAAAAGUAAGGACUCUUCGAGCUCUCUCUUCUUGCAACCCUCAACAAUAUCCUUCAGUGAUAAUAUUUUCCAACAAACCAGGUGGGAUAAAUAUUCAAAUAAUGUGCUGGGACUUGAAUAAACUCGAAGCUUAUAAGUUUUCGUCUUGUUGGAUGGAUGAUAUGUAAAUUGUAUUUUUCGUUAUUCUUAUAAUCAAUUAGAACGCAUUGGGGGUCGAUUUGGUUUUAUGGCCGGUGCAGUACAUCCAAGGUAAGAUUGAAUUCAUUCUGUUCGUAUUGCUGUAGGUUCCCAGAUCCUUCGGAAUCUCGUAAACUAGUAUUUCAGAACUUGACUUGAGAUGGAUAGUGUUCAUGUUAUAUUAGCUUUCAACAAUCUGGAUUUUACCAAUUUCGUUGUUGGGGUCAUGAACCAGAAUGGAGUUUUUCUUUUCCUUAUGAUUUUCUGUGACUUGUUUAUAGCUUCAUUGGAAGCUCUCAGAAUCUUAUUUUAGCAGAA